GGGGUUGUAGCUCAAUGGCAGAGUUCUUGCCUAGUUAUGCACCACAGGGUUCUGGGUUCAAUCCCAGCAAUGCCU
rnacentral:tRNA from 1 species